AUUGAACGCUGGCGGCAUGCCUUACACAUGCAAGUCGAACGGCAGCGCGGGGCAACCUGGCGGCGAGUGGCGAACGGGUGAGUAAUAUAUCGGAACAUACCCUAGAGUGGGGGAUAACGUAGCGAAAGUUACGCUAAUACCGCAUACGAUCCAAGGAUGAAAGCAGGGGACCUUCGGGCCUUGUGCUCCUGGAGCGGCCGAUAUCUGAUUAGCUAGUUGGUGGGGUAAAAGCCUACCAAGGCGACGAUCAGUAGCUGGUCUGAGAGGACGACCAGCCACACUGGAACUGAGACACGGUCCAGACUCCUACGGGAGGCAGCAGUGGGGGAAUUUUGGACAAUGGGGGGCAACCCUGAUCCAGCAAUGCCGCGUGAGUGAAGAAGGCCUCGGUUGU
rnacentral:rRNA from 1 species